UACGGGGGGGGCAAGCGUUGUUCGGAAUUACUGGGCGUAAAGGGCUCGUAGGCGGCCAACUAAGUCGGACGUGAAAUCCCUCGGCUCAACCGGGGAACUGCGUCCGAUACUGGAUGGCUUGAGUUCGGGAGAGGGAUGCGGAAUUCCAGGUGUAGCGGUGAAAUGCGCAGAUAUCAGGAGGAACACCGAUGGCGAAGGCAGGUCUCUGGGCAUUAACUGACGCUGAGGAGCGAAAGCAUGGGGAGCGAACAGG
rnacentral:rRNA from 1 species